rnacentral:lncRNA from 7 species
CCCUUCCCUUUCCAGCUUUUAACUGAUAGAAUCUCAUUUCAGCUGAGAAGAAUACGAAGGAGCUGCUCCUUCAUAUACGGUAUGGAAAUUUACUAUCGUUCUCAAAAAUGGAUGGCAAGAUUCAGUAUGAUGCUAUGAAAAAUGAUAGUGCUGCAGUGUUUCUUUUAUAUACCAAUGCCUUUUGAACUUACCUGUCAAAUAGAACAAUAAUGUAUGAAUACUUGUCUUCAGGUUUGGGUUAAAAUAGAAUACUUAAAGGGCACAUUUGGGUUUGCUUUCAUAAAUUGCUUUGAACAUGGUAUCUCUAGUCUCUUCAACAUACUAUUAUUUUGAAAUACAUUCAAUAUUUAUUCUAAUAUUAUGAACUCAAUAUUCUGUAAUUGAAAACAUAAAAUGCUAGCAUGAUUUUAAUCUGCUGUCUAUUUUGAAAGCUUAUGUUGAUACUUUUUUUUCAUUAUUCUACAGAGGAUUGUGUUUUAAAUAAAAUCUUUCCUUGAAUGUCUGGUUAGUGUUUUUGUAAGCUAAAAGCAUGUUUUCUGCUUUGUUUUGUGCUUCAAGUACAGGUACAUUAUUCUUCUAUUACAAUAAUUCAGCAGAGCAUGCCUCUAGUUGCUUGUAUUUUUCUGUGAAAGCUAGCCGUCAUCUUUUGCAGAUCUCUCCUUAUUUUGAAAUAAUUUACUUCUGAUGAAAUAGUAAAGAUGAUGACUUGCAUCACUGUUACUAUACAGCAAUGGUGACUUCUCUGAGAUUGUAAAUACUGAGUGGUGAUUGGAAAUCAAGCCAGCCAGUGCUCUGUCCUCUGAAGUUCAGAAAGUGACUAACGUGGCUGAGGCAGGGCCAAGGCUUUAGUAGUAGGAAAUCAGACUAGGCAAAACAGUUCAGAGUAACACUGCAAAGCUACACUGUACAUUAAAAAAAGGAAGAGAGAAGUUGUAGCAAGUCAUUUCUAUCUGCCUUUGAUUCUGUCAUAUCUUGCUCUUAAAAUGUGCCAUUCUAUUAACUUCUAUUAAAUGCAUUUUCUUAAUUAUGUAUCUCUUUCUCUAUGUGUUUGUAUUGCACUUUUACACUUUCAAUCUGUCAGUUGAUCCUUCUGCUUAAUAUUACCUAAUUACUUAAUGUUACCUAUCAUUGUUACAGACAAGGCUAUAUAAUAAUGAUAACGUAUGCAAAUAAAGGAAUAUGU